rnacentral:rRNA from 1 species
GACGAACGCUGGCGGCGUGCUUAACACAUGCCAGUCGAACGGAAAGGCCCUGCUUUUGUGGGGUGCUCGAGUGGCGAACGGGUGAGUAACACGUGAGUAACCUGCCCUUGACUUUGGGAUAACUUCAGGAAACUGGGGCUAAUACCGGAUAGGAGCUCCUGCUGCAUGGUGGGGGUUGGAAAGUUUCGGCGGUUGGGGAUGGACUCGCGGCUUAUCAGCUUGUUGGUGGGGUAGUGGCUUACCAAGGCUUUGACGGGUAGCCGGCCUGAGAGGGUGACCGGCCACAUUGGGACUGAGAUACGGCCCAGACUCCUACGGGAGGGAGCAGUGGGGAAUAUUGCACAAUGGGCGGAAGCCUGAUGCAGCAACGCCGCGUGCGGGAUGACGGCCUUCGGGUUGUAAACCGCUUUCGCCUGUGACGAAGCGUGAGUGACGGUAAUGGGUAAAGAAGCACCGGCUCACUACGUG